rnacentral:rRNA from 1 species
GUAACAAAGCGACCCAGGAAUGCUUGGGCGUGCCUCCACCCACGCCGGCGUCGGCGGGCGUAUUUCGCCUCACAGUAGGUCGCCGCGACCCGUUGCUUUUGGGGACGUCGAAGGCCCGGACGGAUUGGUACCCUACCGGCUGGGGAUGCGGCUUCGGCUUCUCCUCUUGUCCGGUGGGCGAAACCGCCGGUGUCCUGGCUGCCCUGCGACGGUCGUAGAGACGAGCCCUCCCCUUCGGGGGGGCGGCUCUCGCGGCGUGCAAAAGGUCGGUGAUCCACCCGACCCGUCUUGAAACACGGACCAAGGAGUCUAACAUGUGUGCGAGUCAGUGGGCGCACUAAACCCAGAGGCGUAAUGAAAGUGACACGGGUUCGGCUGUCGCCUCGUGUGGCAGCCGGACUCAGGGCCGAUCCCUCACCGGUUGUCCUCGCCUCUCUCCCGCGUCUCGGUAAGCCGGGUGAGCUAUUUUCCCCGGCCGCUGCUGCGGGGCUCGGGGGAAGGCGGGGUGCGAUGGUGUCUGUAAAAAAGAGCCUGCUGUUGCAGGGGGGCGCAGGCCCGGGACUUGCCAGGACGCCGCGAGACUGUCACUUUGCUGUGAGGCUCUCGGGCCGAUCAGCGGGUCAUGCGUGCAGUCGGCAAGUACCAUGAGCAGACAUGUUGGGACCCGAAAGAUGGUGAACUAUGCCUGGCCAGGAUGAAGCCAGAGGAAACUCUGGUGGAGGUCCGUAGCGAUUCUGACGUGCAAAUCGAUCGUCGGAGCUGGGUAUAGGGGCGA